rnacentral:rRNA from 1 species
AAUGGGCGCAAGCCUGAUCCAGCCAUGCCGCGUGAGUGAUGAAGGCCCUAGGGUCCUAAAGCUCUUUCGCCUGUGAAGAUAAUGACGGUAGCAGGUAAAGAAACCCCGGCUAACUCCGUGCCAGCAGCCGCGGUAAUACGGAGGGGGUUAGCGUUGUUCGGAAUUACUGGGCGUAAAGCGCGCGUAGGCGGAUUAGUCAGUCAGAGGUGAAAUCCCAGGGCUCAACCCUGGAACUGCCUUUGAUACUGCUAGUCUUGAGUUCGAGAGAGGUAAGUGGAAUUCCGAGUGUAGAGGUGAAAUUCGUAGAUAUUCGGAGGAACACCAGUGGCGAAGGCGGCUUACUGGCUCGAUACUGACGCUGAGGUGCGAAAGUGUGGGGAGCAAACAGGAUU